rnacentral:rRNA from 1 species
GUGCCAGCAGCCGCGGUAAUACGUAGGUGGCAGCGUUGUCGGGAAUUAUUGGGCGUAAAGCGCGCGCAGGCGGUUUCUUAAGUCUGAUGUGAAAGCCCCCGGCUCAACCGGGGAGGGUCAUUGGAAACUGGGAAACUUGAGUGCAGAAGAGGAGAGUGGAAUUCCACGUGUAGCGGUGAAAUGCGUAGAGAUGUGGAGGAACACCAGUGGCGAAGGCGACUCUCUGGUCUGUAACUGACGCUGAGGCGCGAAAGCGUGGGGAGCGAACAGGAUUAGAUACCCUGGUAGUCCACGCCGUAAACGAUGAGUGCUAAGUGUUAGAGGGUUUCCGCCCUUUAGUGCUGCAGCUAACGCAUUAAGCACUCCGCCUGGGGAGUACGGUCGCAAGACUGAAACUCAAAGGAAUUGACGGGGGCCCGCACAAGCGGUGGAGCAUGUGGUUUAAUUCGAAGCAACGCGAAGAACCUUACCAGGUCUUGACAUCCUUUGCCACUUCUAGAGAUAGAAGGUUCCCCUUCGGGGGACAAAGUGACAGGUGGUGCAUGGUUGUCGUCAGCUCGUGUCGUGAGAUGUUGGGUUAAGUCCCGCAACGAGCGCAACCCUUGAUCUUAGUUGCCAGCAUUCAGUUGGGCACUCUAAGGUGACUGCCGGUGACAAACCGGAGGAAGGUGGGGAUGACGUCAAAUCAUCAUGCCCCUUAUGACCUGGGCUACACACGUGCUACAAUGGAUGGUACAAAGGGCUGCGAGACCGCGAGGUUUAGCCAAUCCCAUAAAACCAUUCUCAGUUCGGAUUGCAGGCUGCAACUCGCCUGCAUGAAGCUGGAAUCGCUAGUAAUCGCGGAUCAGCAUGCCGCGGUGAAUACGUUCCCGGGCCUUGUACACACCGCCCGUCACACCACGAGAGUUUGCAACACCCGAAGUCGGUGGGGUAACCGCAAGGAGCCAGCCGCCAAGUGUA